GCCCUAGUGGUGCAAUGGGUAAGUGUUUGGCUGCUAACCAAAAGGCUGGUGGUUUGAACCUAUCCAGUGGCU
rnacentral:tRNA from 1 species